rnacentral:lncRNA from 1 species
UAUGCGUCCGGAAGCCCUUUCAGCCUCCCAGGCAUGUCCCACCUGCCUCACAGCCACCAACGCAUCUCACGGCGGGGUUCUAAAUGCGUGCGCGUAAGGAUGCUCCUAUUCCUGCCGCCUUUCUAGCAACUAGUUAAUGUUAUGAUGCAUCGCUGGUCCGGCGUACGACGGCGCCUGGUGCGAUUUAUGCGUCCGGAAGCCCUUUCAGCCUCCAGGAAUGUCCCCACCUGCCUCACAGCCACCGACGCAUCUCACGGCGGGGUUCUAAAUGCGUGCGCGUAUGGAUGCUCCUAUUCCUGCCGCCUUUCUAGCAACUAGUUAAUGUUAUGAUGCAUCGUUGGUCCGGCGUACGACGGCGCCUGGUGCGAUUUAUGCGUCCGGAAGCCCUUUCAGCCUCCCAGGCAUGUCCCACCUGCCUCACAGCCACCGACGCAUCUCACGGCGGGGUUCUAAUUGCGUGCGCGUAUGGAUGCUCCUAUUCCUGCCGCCUUUCUAGCAACUAGUUAAUGUUAUGAUGCAUCGUUGGUCCGGCGUACGACGGCGCCUGGUGCGAUUUAUGCGUCCGGAAGCCCUUUCAGCCUCCCAGGCAUGUCCCACCUGCCUCACAGCCACCGACGCAUCUCACGGCGGGGUUCUAAUUGCGUGCGCGUAUGGAUGCUCCUAUUCCUGCCGCCUUUCUAGCAACUAGUUAAUGUUAUGAUGCAUCGUUGGUCCGGCGUACGACGGCGCCUGGUGCGAUUUAUGCGUCCGGAAGCCCUUUCAGCCUCCCAGGCAUGUCCCCACCUGCCUCACAGCCACCGACGCAUCUCACGGCGGGGUUCUAAAUGCGUGCGCGUAAGGAUGCUCCUAUUCCUGCCGCCUUUCUAGCAACUAGUAAUGUUAUGAUGCAUCGUUGGUCCGGCGUACGACGGCGCCUGGUGCGAUUUAUGCGUCCGGAAGCCCUUUCAGCCUCCCAGGCAUGUCCCACCUGCCUCACAGCCACCAACGCAUCUCACGGCGGGGUUCUAAAUGCGUGCGCGUAAGGAUGCUCCUAUUCCUGCCGCCUUUCUAGCAACUAGUUAAUGUUAUGAUGCAUCGUUGGUCCGGCGUACGACGGCGCCUGGUGCGAUUUAUGCGUCCGGAAGCCCUUUCAGCCUCCCAGGCAUGUCCCACCUGCCUCACAGCCACCGACGCAUCUCACGGCGGGGUUCUAAAUGCGUGCGCGUAAGGAUGCUCCUAUUCCUGCCGCCUUUCCAGCAACUAGUUAAUGUUAUGAUGCAUCGUUGGUCCGGCGUACGACGGCGCCUGGUGCGAUUUAUGCGUCCGGAAGCCCUUUCAGCCUCCCAGGCAUGUCCCCACCUGCCUCACAGCCACCGACGCAUCUCACGGCGGGGUUCUAAAUGCGUGCGCGAAUGGAUGCUCCUAUUCCUGCCGCCUUUCUAGCAACUAGUUAAUGUUAUGAUGCAUCGCUGGUCCGGCGUACGACGGCGCCUGGUGCGAUUUAUGCGUCCGGAAGCCCUUUCAGCCUCCCAGGCAUGUCCCACCUGCCUCACAGCCACCGACGCAUCUCACGGCGGGGUUCUAAAUGCGUGCGCGUAAGGAUGCUCCUAUUCCUGCCGCCUUUCCAGCAACUAGUUAAUGUUAUGAUGCAUCGUUGGUCCGGCGUACGACGGCGCCUGGUGCGAUUUAUGCGUCCGGAAGCCCUUUCAGCCUCCCAGGCAUGUCCCCACCUGCCUCACAGCCACCGACGCAUCUCACGGCGGGGUUCUAAUUGCGUGCGCGAAUGGAUGCUCCUAUUCCUGCCGCCUUUCUAGCAACUAGUUAAUGUUAUGAUGCAUCGUUGGUCCGGCGUACGACGGCGACUGGUGCGAUUUAUGUGUCCGGAAGCCCUUUCAGCCUCCCAGGCAUGUCCCACCUGCCUCACAGCCACCGACGCAUCUCACGGCGGGGUUCUAAUUGCGUGCGCGUAUGGAUGCUUCUUUUCCCGCCGACUUUCUAACAACUAGAAAUGUUAAGAUGUAUAGUUGGUCCGGCGUACGACGGCGCCUGAUGCGAUUUAUGCGUCCGGAAGCCCUUUCAGCCUCCAGGCAUGUCCCCACCUGCCUCACAGCAACCGACGCAUCUCACGGCGGGGAUUGCGUGCGCGUAUGGAUGCUUCUUUCCCCGCCGCCUUUCUAACAACUAGAAAUGUUAUGAUGUAUCGUUGGUCCGGCGUACGACGGCGCCUGGUGCGAUUUAUGCGUCCGGAAGCCCUUUCAGCCUCCCAGGCAUGUCCCACCUGCCUCACAGCCACCGACGCAUCUCACGGCGGGGUUCUAAUUGCGUGCGCGUAUGGAUGCUCCUAUUCCUGCCGCCUUUCUAGCAACUAGUUAAUGUUAUGAUGCAUCGUUGGUCCGGCGUACGACGGCGCCUGGUGCGAUUUAUGCGUCCGGAAGCCCUUUCAGCCUCCCAGGCAUGUCCCCCACCUGCCUCACAGCCACCGACGCAUCUCACGGCGGGGUUCUAAUUGCGUGCGCGUAUGGAUGCUCCUUUCCCCGCCGCCUUUCUAGCAAUUAGAAAUGUUAUGAUGUAUCGUUGGUCCGGCGUACGACGGCGCCUGAUGCGAUUUAUGCGUUCGGAAGCCCUUUCAGCCUCCAGGCAUGUCCCCACCUGCCUCACAGCCACCGACGCAUCUCACGGCGGGGUUCUAAUUGCGUGCGCGUAUGGAUGCUCCUAUUCCCGCCGCCUUUCUAGCAACUAGUUAAUGUUAUGAUUCAUCGUUGGUUCGGCGUACGACGGCGCCUGGUGCGAUUUAUGCGUCCGGAAGCCCUUUCAGCCUCCAGGCAUGUCCCCACCUGCCUCACAGCCGCCGACGCAUCUCACGGCGGGGGUCUAAUUGCGUGCGCGUUCGC